rnacentral:lncRNA from 1 species
GUGGGGUGCGACACCCCGGAACCGAUGAGCACCCAUGCCCCGCUCACUUACUGUGCAGCAAGUUCGUUCUGCUGUGCAGAGCCCAAGGUCGGACCCACAGGGUGUCCUGCCUGCUGUGGGAUGGACCGGCCUCAGUCAUCCCGCCAGUAACAUGGGCAUCUGCAGAGGCACCUGCAGGCACCCAGGCUCCUUCCUGCUUCCGCUCUUGUCCUUCCAGAAUGUUCUCCAGUCCCCACCCCCGGGGCACCUGCAGCAGUGGUGUCAGCACUGUACUCACUGCAUUCUUGUUCACUGGGAACUCCACUGUGCCCGAGCCACCCUGGUCUUCAGCCCAUUUCCGCAGCUCUUCUGACCUCGCCUGCAAGGGCUUUUGCUCCACUGUCAUGCCUCAGCUCUGUGCAAGCUUGUACUCCCCACCGUGGCACUGCCUCCCUCCACAAGCCCAGGCGGGGCCGCGGGGCCAUUCUCCAGUUACCUUAGCCCAGGCCCAGCUGCCACGCCACUCACGGACUCAACUGCAUCACCUUCAAAAGUCCUGUGCCAACCAAGCUGCCAGAAAGGAAAAGAGUCUGGUCCAGGAUGAUGACAGGCCAGGGGCGGGGGUCUCAGGGUCAGUAUGUGAGCCAGGGGCGCUUCGGGGAGCUCCCCGCUCCUGGGCGUGGCUGUCCCCGGCCUAGACUGGGGUCCCUUGCCCCCAGAGUCGCUCUAUGGAACAGCUCAGCCAGAGGCCCCACCCAGGUGAAAUCGGAAGCAGCCAGUUCAGAGGAACCAACUUUCUUUGUUAGAGAAACCCUUCUCUCCCCCAAAUAAGUUUCCCCUCAUUAAAUCGCGGAAUGAACAGAACAUUUUUCCAAG